AUUAGACCCAAAGCAGCCAUGGCCUCUCAGAGGCUGCUCCCCGCCAGGGGACCCCAUGCCCUGUGCCUGGCUCUCACACAGGCCCCUCGGGCGGCCUGGAGAGGACAAAGGUGUGGAGGAGGCUCCACUCGCCUGCCAGGCUCGGCAGCACCGCCCAGAGCUGUGGAGCCCUCUAACUUAGCCACCGGCAGCUGCUGAGACCAGGAGGUCGCCUGGCUGGGGCAGGGGCUGAUGGCCACCUUCACACCUGGAAUCCCACAGUCCCUGGGCCCUGUCCUCUCAGGAUCCACCCCCCGAAGGUCGCCUUAGGCUCCUCCCAGGGGGCAGCUCUCUGUCUUCCAGACCCUGACAGCUUCCAGGAGCCCUGAGCGUCCCUCCUGCAGAACUCUUUGUGACUGAUUUCCAGAAGGGACUGAGGCUGUGCCCUUCUCAGCUCCUUGCAGCAGGGUGCCUGUGGCCAGGUGUCUCUGCUCUGUGAUGGUGACCUUGAUCUUGGGGACAGUUCCCCUGCGCGGUCUCUCCUGUGAAGUUACCACUUUCCUUUUGCAGUUAGUGUAUGGUGGGGAGACACUUCGAGACUCUGCAAGUAUCCUGUUUCUGACCCGACUAUGGAUGUGUCCAGUGUCUCUUGACUUGUGGUAUUUGCCGUAUUCUGUUUCAAAAUGAUUUUUUUAAAAGACCGGUAUCUCCCAGCCAGGAAUAGUGUUGCACACCUCUAAUCCCAGUGACCCAGGAGGCUGAGGCAGGAGGAUGGGCAACUUAGCAAGACCCUGUCUCAAAAAAUUUUAAAAAAUAAAUAAAUAAAUAAUUUUUAAACGGAAAGGACUGAUGGUAUAGCUCAGUGGUAGGGUCCAACCCCCAGUCCUGGGUUCAUCCCCAGAAUCACAACAAGCAAACCAAGAUUGAUACCUCGCUGUGUGUCUAAGGAAAAAUACAACCUAGAACACAUUCCUAACAGAAAAUGGCUUAUUAAAAUAGAUGAUUUUUGUGAUACUGAUUGGAUGUAGGACCUCACACAUGCCAGGGAGACUCUCUACCACGGAGCUACAUUCAAAAAUAAAAAUUUUAAAAAUUUGAGACAGGGUCUUGCUAAAGUUUGAUCCUCCUGCCUCAGCCUCCAGAGGAGCUGGGCUGCCAACUAUGCACCUCCAUGUCCAGAUAAAAAUAAAAAAUUUUGGUGGGAAAACGGUAACCAACCUCACAGAACGGGAUCAAAGGCCAGGAUCCGGACCAAGACACAGGAAUCACAGCCCCAGGACAUCACACCCUCAUCCUUGGGCAGAGUCUCAGAACCAACCCUCUGGUAGCCAGAGCCUGCCUGGUGCUCACAGAGGUGGGUCCCUGGAUGGUGGAUCCCAGAGGUGGACUCCAGGUGGACUCCACGUCCAUUAAAGACAGAUAGAAGCAGAGGUGGAGUAGAGAAGCAUAUUGACUUUGUGACAAGGCGGAGGGUGAUUAUGAGAUAUUUUGUAGCACAGAAUUAUUCUAGUUAAAUUGUAACAAGGUAGUUAAAAGAGUCUUGAAUUUAAGGAUGAAUUGUGUAGUUGCUUUAAAAAAAAAGAUAAUUGUUCAGAAUUUGUGCUCUAUCAUUGGGAACAAACGGCUGUCAGAAGCAAAAUUCUUGGCAGAUAUUAAAGGAGUAACAAUAAACACUGUUAAUUUGUACUUUCAAGAUAAAAUUGAUUAAAAUAAUAAGAAAUUAACAUCUUCU
rnacentral:lncRNA from 1 species